rnacentral:rRNA from 1 species
UACAGAGGGUGCAAGCGUUAAUCGGAAUUACUGGGCGUAAAGCGCGCGUAGGCCGUCGAGUAAGUCGGAUGUGAAAUCUUCGGGCUUAACCUGGGAAUUGCAUUCGAUACUGCUUGACUAGAGUGUUGAAGAGGGAAGCGGAAUUUCCGGUGUAGCGGUGAAAUGCGUAGAUAUCGGAAGGAAAACCAGUGGCGAAGGCGGCUUCCUGGUCCAACACUGACGCUGAGGCGCGAAAGCGUGGGGAGCGAACAGG